AUUGAACGCUGGCGGCAUGCUUUACACAUGCAAGUCGAACGGCAGCGCGGGCUUCGGCCUGGCGGCGAGUUGCGAACGGGUGAGUAAUACAUCGGAACGUGCCCAGUAGAGGGGGAUAGCUCGGCUAAAGCCGGAUUAAUACCGCAUACGACCUGAUGGUGAAAGCGGGGGAUCUUCGGACCUCGCGCGACUUGAGCUGCCGAUGGCAGAUUAGCUAGUUGGUUGGGUAAAGGCCUACCAAGGCGACGAUCUGUAGCUGGUCUGAGAGGACGACCAGCCACACUGGGACUGAGACACGGCCCAGACUCCUACGGGAGGCAGCAGUGGGGAAUUUUGGACAAUGGGCGAAAGCCUGAUCCAGCAAUGCCGCGUGUGUGAUGAAGGCCUUCGGGUUGUAAAGCACUUUUGGCGGGAACGAAAAGGACUGUGCCAAUACCACGGUUCGAUGACGGUACCCGAAGAAUAAGCACCGGCUAACUACGUG
rnacentral:rRNA from 1 species